rnacentral:rRNA from 1 species
AAAGUCGUAACAAGGGCUCCUAGGUGAACCUGCGGAGGGGAUCAAUUACCGAGUAGGAAGGGCGCCCCGCGCGCCGACCUCCCAAACCCUUUGUACAAGACCGUACCUCGUCUGCCUCUGGGUGACCCGCCCUCGGGCCGCGGUCCCCCCGGCGGCGCCCCCCAACCAACCCCUGCAUCAGUUGUCGUCGGAUAUUAUUGAAGCGAAUUCAAUCAAAACUUUCAACAACGGAUCUCUUGGUUCUGGCCAUCGAUGAAGAACGCAGCGAAAUGCGAUAAGUAAUGUGAAUUGCAGAAUUUCAGUGAAUCAUCGAAUCUUGACGCACAUUGCGCCCCCUGGCAUUCCGGUGGGCAUGCCCGUUCGAGCGUCAUUACACCACUCAAGCCUGGCUGGUAUUGGCGUCGGGAUGCACCCGCGCCUCUAUGUUUGUUCGGCUGACGGUUGGAAUUCAGCGUUGUGCAAUUUCAAUUCCGCUUGUGGACCUGACUGGACGCGCCGCGAAAUCUCAUCACAGUUGACCUCGGAUCGGGUAGGGAUACCCGCUGAACUUAA